GUUGCUUCUUAGCCUUUUGGCUCAGAAUUAAAUAGUUCUUAUCAUUUUAAUCUCUGAUACACCAUUGGUUGGAUUGGACAUUAUACCUGAAGGUUGUUUGGUACUGGGAGAUGAAUGAGGUGCUUCCUCCAUCUACUCCAGGGACGAGCUUGGUACAGUAGUGUUCCCAGGAACAGUGUGAAAAGC